rnacentral:rRNA from 1 species
CACGUAGGAGGCAAACGUUAUCCGGAUUUACUGGGCGUAAAGCGCGUGUAGGUGGUUCUGUAAGUAGGGCGUGAAAGCUCCCGGCUCAACUGGGAGAGGCCGUUCUAAACUGCAGAGCUAGAGGAUGGUAGAGGGAGGUAGAAUUCCACGUGUAGCAGUGAAAUGCGUAGAGAUGUGGAGGAAUACCAGUGGCGAAAGCGGCCUCCUGGACCAUUCCUGACACUCAGACGCGAAAGCUAGGGUAGCAAACGGG